rnacentral:rRNA from 1 species
GACGAACGCUGGCGGCGUGCCUAAUACAUGCAAGUCGAACGAGAGCGCCCGGUGCUUGCACUGGUCAAUCUAGUGGCGAACGGGUGAGUAACACGUGGGUAACCUGCCCAUCAGAGGGGGAUAACAUCCGGAAACGGAUGCUAAAACCGCAUCGGACUUCGAACCGCAUGGUUCGAAGAGGAAAAGAGGCGCAAGCUUCUGCUGGUGGCGGGACCCGCGGUGCAUUAGCUAGUUGGAGAGGUAACGGCUCACCAAGGCCGCGAUGCAUAGCCGAUCUGAGAGGGUGAUCGGCCACACUGGAACUGAGACACGGCCCAGACUCCUACGGGAGGCAGCAGUAGGGAAUAUUGCGCAAUGGGCGCAAGCCUGACGCAGCAACGCCGCGUGAGUGAAGAAGGUCUUCGGAUCGUAAAACUCUGUUGUUAGGGAAGAAAAAGUGCUAGAGUAAAUGUUGGUGUCUUGACGGUACCUAAAGAGAAAGCAACGGCUAACUACGUG